UUUGUAAGAGCUUUGCAAAUUCAAGAUUUGUUUUGGGUGACUCUAGAUUUGUGAAAUAAAAUGAGAGAUACUUUUUGGAGAAUUCCAUAAGUUUGGCGAUAGAUCUAUUAGUGAAUUUUUGAAAUUUUUUGGAUUUAUAUGUGUUCAAUAUAUACUAUAAGUUUGAACUUGAUUAAAGGGUUGGAUCGAAGAUUAUUGUGGUUUAAGUGGGUUGGGAUCUUGAAAAGUAGAGUUUUAGGCCUAGUGAGGAUUUCUAAGAUUUCAUGCAAUCUAUCAAUUGGAUUAGAGUAAAAAUUAUGUGUGUAGAUAAUAGACUUAUUUUCCUAUAUAUUUAAAAAAAUUUAAGAUCAAUUAAAUGGUUUGAUAAGGAGAUAUUAGUAUUGGAAAUUCAACAUUCAGAUUGGAGAAGGAGACCAGCCAACAUCUGAGCAAAUAUUAGGAUUGAUCUUCUUUUUGGUGACUUUGAUCUUCUUUAAAAAAAUUAUACUUGUUUUCAUCUUAAUUAUUAAGAGAUUUGCAAAAUUUUAAUUAAUAUCAAUAGUUCAUUCAUUAGUUAUUGAGGUUUAAAUUUAUUGUACGAAUUACUUCAGAUUAUUUAAGAUUUGAUUAGGAUUUAUUUAGGAUAUGGUUUUGGAUUUUAUUAGGAUUUAUUUAUAAUUUAUUUAAGAUAUAUAUAGGAUUUUAUUAAGAUUUGUUUAGGAUUUGUUUAGGAUUUGAUUAUGAUUUAUUUAGGAUUUAUUUAGGAUUUGGUUAAGAUUUGUCUAAGGUUUGAUUAGGAUUUGGUUAGGAUUUG
rnacentral:lncRNA from 1 species